CCUACGGGAGGCAGCAGUGAGGAAUAUUGGUCAAUGGACGAGAGUCUGAACCAGCCAAGUAGCGUGAAUGAUGACUGCCCUAUGGGUUGUAAACUUCUUGUAUAUGGAAGUAAAAUGUUCCACGUGUGGGAUUUUGUACGUACCAUAAGAAUAAGGCUGGGCCAACUCCGUGCCAGCAGCCGCGGUAAUACGGAGGAACCGAGCGUUAUCCGGAUUUAGUGGGUUUAAAGGGAGCGUAGGUGGAUUGUUAAGUCAGUUGUGAAAGUUUGCGGCUCAACCGUAAAAUUGCAGUUGAAACUGGCAGUCUUGAGUACAGUAGAGGUGGGCGGAAUUCGUGGUGUAGCGGUGAAAUGCUUAGAUAUCACGAAGAACUCCGAUUGCGAAGGCAGUUCACUGGACUGCAACUGACACUGAGGCUCGAAAGUGUGGGUAUCAAACAGGAUUAGAUACCCGUGUAGUC
rnacentral:rRNA from 1 species